AGCGAACGCUGGCGGCAGGCUUAACACAUGCAAGUCGAGCGGCCGUAGCAAUACGGCAGCGGCAGACGGGAGAGUAACACGUGGGAACGUACCCUUCAGUACGGAACAACCAAGGGAAACUUUGGCUAAUACCGUAUACGUCCGUAAAGAGAAAGAUUUAUCGCUGAAGGAUCGGCACGCGUCUGAUUAGCUAGUUGGUGAGGUAACGGCUCACCAAGGCGACGAUCAGUAGCUGGUCUGAGAGGAUGAUCAGCCUCACUGGGACUGAGACACGGCCCAGACUCCUACGGGAGGCAGCAGUGGGGAGUAUUGGACAAUGGGCGCAAGCCUGAUCCAGCCAUGCCGCGUGGAUGAUGAAGGCCCUAGGGUUGUAAAGUCCUUUUAACGGGGAAGAUAAUGACGGUACCCGUAGAAUAAGCCCCGGCUAACUUCGUGCCAGCCGCCGCAGUAA
rnacentral:rRNA from 1 species